rnacentral:lncRNA from 1 species
CCGUGGACGUCCUUCGGCUACCUGUUAGUAGUCCCGGCGCCCCGGCCUCGCUCCGCAGCCCUGGCAUCGGCCUUUUGGUCCGAGCCUCUUUUGUGUCGCGCCCGACGCUUCCGAUUGCAGCCCCUGCUGUCCCCACCGCGCCCUCCCGUCCCCGCCGCAUUGGGUUCAGUCAAAGUUUAUCAGUGCCUGUUGUGAGCUUACGAAGUACCUGGCCUGGCCGGAGUGGAUCGAUGGCAUACUUAAUUAUUCCUUAGUAUUCUCCAAAAUCCUUGGGAAAGAGAACUUUCCUUGGCCAUAGAGGCUGCUGAAAACAGAUUGACCCAGAAGAACCAUAGCAUGUUACUUAGAAAAGAUCUGCUGCUGCUUUUAAUAAUCCCUAAGGCCAAAGUUCUUACAACUGAGGCUCACAGACACAUUUAGGGAACGAAGAAGAACAAAAGUUGAAAUCCUGCUAUCCUGUCCACCAAAAUGGCUUCCUCUCCACUGCUGUAGCUAUGUCUGACAGCUGUCUUCUGUCAAUGAUGUCUAACAUCAUUGGCCUGCUCCUCCUUACCCAUUACUCCCUGUAUUUUUAACCUACCUGGAUUGUUACAUUAUUUUUUAUUGUGGUAAAAUAUACAUAACAAGAUUUACCAUUUUAACGAUUUUAAAUGUAAAAUUCAGUGGCAAAAAGUACAUUCACAACGUUGUGUAACUAUCACCACCAUUUCCAGAACUUUUUCAUCAUCCCAAACAAUCUCUCUGUCCAUUAAGCAAUAACUCUCAACUCCCACUUCCCCAA